rnacentral:RNase_P_RNA from 1 species
UGAGUAAACCGGGUGGUCGCGGGUGCAAGAAUUGCACCUGAGGAAAGUCCGAGCUCCACAGGGCAGGGUGCCGGGUAACACCCGGCGGGGGCGACCCCAGGGAAAGUGCCACAGAAAUGCAGACCGCCCAACACUCAACUGAGAGGAAUGGUAGCACUUACCACAGUCGCCGAAGUGAGAAGAAAAACUUCCAUGUUGGAAACUCGAGGAAUCGUCUCUCUGAGUUGAGUGUUGGGUAAGGGUGCAACGGUGCGGUAAGAGCGCACCAGCGGUCGGGCAACCGGCCGGCUAGGUAAACCCCACCCGGAGCAAGGCCGCGUAGGGGGACCAUGGAGUGGCCCGCUCCGUCCCCGGGUAGGCCGCACGAGACGCCCGGGCAACCGGCGUCCCAGAUAGAUGACCACCCUCGACAGAACUCGGCUUACAGGUUUACUCACCCG